UCCGACUGUGAGUCACGUUCAGACCAAGGUAAAGGCCUCCUUCCUCGCUUUGCAUUCAUUUAUCUACCUUCUUUUACUUGAUGAAGUUGUAAGCGUGUGUUACCGUGUGUUAUCUUCUUAUCCGGAAUCAGCCCGA